CAGAUAUUGAAAAUACAAGUGAAAGUGAAAAAACAGACAACAUUGUCAGCAUAUCUUGAAUGUGGUGGUUUGGUGGUGCUUGUAAUCAUUGCAAUCCUUGGAAUGUGUUGGUUUCGUAAAAGGCGAAGGUCAAACAUGGAACAUGAUGAUUUACAUACCAACAAUUCAUUUCAUGAUGCCAACACUUAUGACACAGUGGAUUCUAAUCUUCGUGAGGUUGAACUCAACGAUCUGAAGUAUGAGACUCUUCAAGUUACAGAUGUACAUAAGAUGCAAAAAACAACUGACUUGUCUACCAUCUCUAAACAAGGAAAU